rnacentral:rRNA from 1 species
UACAGAGGGGGCGAGCGUUGUUCGGAAUUACUGGGCGUAAAGCGUGCGCAGGCGGUUUUGUAAGCCAGAUGUGAAAUCCCAGGGCUCAACCCUGGAACUGCCUUUAAUACUGGCAAUCUCGAGUCCGAGAGAGGUCAGUGGAAUUCCGAGUGUAGAGGUGAAAUUCGUAGAUAUUCGGAAGAACACCAGUGGCGAAGGCGACUGACUGGACAUGUAUUGACGCUGAGGUGCGAAAGCGUGGGGAGCAAACAGG